rnacentral:rRNA from 1 species
AAGAGACAGCAGCCGCCGCGGUAAUACAGAGGGUGCGAGCGUUAAUCGGAUUUACUGGGCGUAAAGCGUGCGUAGGCGGCUUUUUAAGUCGGAUGUGAAAUCCCUGAGCUUAACUUAGGAAUUGCAUUCGAUACUGGGAAGCUAGAGUAUGGGAGAGGAUGGUAGAAUUCCAGGUGUAGCGGUGAAAUGCGUAGAGAUCUGGAGGAAUACCGAUGGCGAAGGCAGCCAUCUGGCCUAAUACUGACGCUGAGGUACGAAAGCAUGGGGAGCAAACAGGAUUAGAUACCCGAGUAGUCCCUGUCUCUUAUAC